rnacentral:rRNA from 1 species
UUCGAUUCUGGCUCAGGAUGAACGCUAGCGAUAGGCCUAACACAUGCAAGUCGAGGGGCAUCACAUGAAGUAGCAAUACGGAUGGUGGCGACCGGCGCACGGGUGAGUAACACGUAUGCAACCUGCCUUCAACAAGGGCAUAACCCGUUGAAAGACGGACUAAUUCCCUAUAACACAGGGGUCCCGCAUGGGAAUAUUUGUUAAAGAUUAAUCGGUUGAAGAUGGGCAUGCGUUCCAUUAGCUGGUUGGCGGGGUAACGGCCCACCAAGGCAACGAUGGAUAGGGGAACUGAGAGGUUUAUCCCCCACACUGGUACUGAGACACGGACCAGACUCCUACGGGAGGCAGCAGUGAGGAAUAUUGGUCAAUGGACGCAAGUCUGAACCAGCCAAUGUCGCGUGAAGGAAGACGGCCCUACGGGUUGUAAACUUCUUUUGUAAGGGAAUAAAGUGGGCCACGUGUGGCUUUUUGCAUGUACCUUACGAAUAAGGAUCGGCUAACUCCGUGCCAGCCGCGGC